rnacentral:tRNA from 1 species
GUUAACGUAGCAUAUAAAAUGUGUUUGUUUUAAGUGCAAAAGAAUGUUUGUUAAUU